rnacentral:rRNA from 1 species
AUUGAACGCUGGCGGCAGGCCUAACACAUGCAAGUCGAACGAGUGGCGGACGGGUGAGUAAUGUCUGGGAAACUGCCCGAUGGAGGGGGAUAACUACUGGAAACGGUAGCUAAUACCGCAUACCAUCGGAUGUUCCCAGAUGGGAUUAAGUAGUAGGUGGGGUAAAGGCUCACCUAGGCGACGAUCCCUAGCUGGUCUGCGAGAAUGACCGGCCACACUGGAACUGAGACACGGGCCAGACUCCUACGGGAGGCAGCAGUGGGUAAUAUUGCACAAUGGGCGCAAGCCUGAUGCAGCCAUGCCGCGUGUAUGAAGAAGGCAUUCGGGUUGUAAAGUACUUUCGGCGAGGAGGCGUUACCCGCAGAAGAAGCACCGGCUAACUCCGUGCCAGCAGCCGCGGUAAUAC